UACGGAGGGUGCGAGCGUUGUCCGGAAUCACUGGGCGUAAAGGGCGCGUAGGCGGGCGGGCAAGUCAGGGGUGAAAUCCCACGGCUCAACCGUGGAAGGGCCCUUGAUACUGCCCAUCUCGAGGGAGGUAGGGGCGUGCGGAACUUCCGGUGGAGCGGUGAAAUGCGUAGAUAUCGGAAGGAACGACCGGUGGCGAAAGCGGCGCGCUGGACCUCUUCUGACGCUGAGGCG
rnacentral:rRNA from 1 species